GAGCAGGACGUGUUCCUGGUGUUGGUGUUCCCGGUGUUGGCGUUCCAGGUGUUGGUGUUCCCGGUGUUGGCGUUCCCGGUGUUGGCGUGCCUGGAGUGGGUGUGCCAGGUGUUGGCGUGCCCGGUCUGGUGCCUGGGGUCGGCGUUCCAGGAGGUCCGGCAGCCGCUGCCAAAGCAGCCGCCAAAGCAGCCAAGUACGGUAAGCUGGGAUCUCUCUGGGGUUAUCCCACAUGUCCUGUCUCCUGCUCAUCCCCACCCCAGGCUGCUCCCCUGUCGGGGAUGAGGCCCAGCAGUGCCUGGGGUCCCUGGGGGUCAGGGUGAGGGACAAGCUCCCUGAAGGGCUGAAUGUGGGAUGAGGUUCUGGCUGUGUCAGGGCUGCUCUCCAGUGAGCUGAGCCCUGUGGAGCAUCUGAGUUCACCAUCCUCUCAUCCUUCGGUCCAUCCAUACCCCAUUCUGUCCACCUAGCCACAAGACCACUACCUCAGUAUCCAUCUGUCCCCUUCUCUGUCCAUCCAUCUGUACUUCUUCCACUCAUCUAUUCAGUCACUCUACAUGCAUCCACAUAUCCAUCCAUCUAUCCAUACAUCCAUCUCACCACCCCUCCAUCCAUCUGUCCAUCUGGCCAUCCCACUAUCCAUGUGUCCAUCUUAGCAUCCAUUCAUUCAUCCAUCUCACCAUCCAUCCAACCAUCCAUCCAUCCUACCAUCAUUUCAACCAGUCCUCAUCCAGCCACAUACCCAUCUCAUAAUCCAUCCACCCACUCACUCCGCCCAGCCUGCCAUACUUUCUCAUCCAACUCCUUCUUCCACAUUUCUUCCUGAGCUGAAGCCCAGUCCUUCUCUUUCUCCUUGCAGGAGCAGUUGGCCUGGCUCCUGGUGUGGGUGGCCUGGCUCCUGGUGUGGGUGGCCUGGUUCCUGGAGUAGGUGGCCUGGUUCCUGGAGUAGGUGGCCUGGUUCCUGGUGUUGGAGGUGUCCCAGGUGUUGGAGGUCCAGCAGCAGCAGCCAAAGCAGCAGCCAAGGCAGCCAAAUUUGGUGCUGGGGUUGGAGGGGUGCCAGGGGUGGUGCCUGGCGUGGGCGGAGUGCCUGGAGUGACACCCGGUGUUGGUGGCGUGCCCGGCUUGGUGCCAGGGGUGGGAGUGCCUGGAACUGGCAUCCUUCCUGGGGCAGGCAUCCCCCAAGUAGGGGUGCAGCCUGGUGCUAAACCUCCCAAAUUCGGUGUUCCUGGGGUUGGAGUCCCGGGGGUUGGUGGCCUCCCAGGUAAGUGCUGGCAGGAGCUGAGCCCGGGCAGUGGGGAUGUGCAGGCAGAGGGAUGCUCCCCUCAAGGGGUGGAGCUGGAGGGAUGCUCCCUCUGGGCACGGAGGGAGCGGGGCUGCCCGAGAAAGGAUGAGCACACUUGGGAGUGGCUGAGGAGUGGGUCAGACACUGGGGACACUGUCUGUCCCUGCUGGGGCUCACCCGGGCUACUCCUUGUAGGUGGCCUUGGAGUCGGUGGGCUCGGAGUUGGCGGCCUCGGCAUUGGAGGCCCCGGCCUCGGCAUAUCACCGGUAUUUCCAGGUGGGGUCGGCGGCCUGGGAUUCGGUGGGAAGCCCCCCAAGCCCUAUGGAGGAGCUCUGGGUGCCCUGGGCUUUAGAGGCGCGGGCUGCGCGGCAGGGAAGUACUGCGGGAGGAAGCGGAAGUAACGCUCCGUCACCGAUCACCUCAUGAACUUUGGUGCUACUGCAUGGUCCAGAAUGUAAAUCCGAAGCAAAGCUGAGACACCCUCUCCUCCAGCCCCGGACGGCCCCGUCCAUCCCGGGGCCGUGCCCGCGUUCCCCGGAGGGACCCCGCGUUCCCCGGCAGCGCCCGGCCCCCCCCGGCCCUCGGUCCCGGCAGGGAGCGCAGAAUAAACUGCGGGGAGCAGCAGUCCCCCUUGGUGCUAUCGCUCUCUGCGGGAUUUGGGGGGGCUGGGCUGUCGCGCCCCUCCCCAGCCCCAGAGCUGACCCCCGGGGGGGCACAGGAUGAGGGGCACCCCACAUUGGAGGAGGGGAGGGAGGGAGGGAGGGAAGGGGAUGGCGGCGGCGGGGGCUGUGCGGGGAGGGAUGGCCCCGUCAGCCUGGCCCCCAGCCCAGUCCCCGCGCUCCCCCCGGUCUGGGGGCGCCGCGGGCAGGAGGGGCUCCGUCCCUUCACGUUGCUCACUUUGCUAUAACUGGGUGGGACGCCCUAUACAGAGGGACUCGCUUCUGACAGACUAAUAAAGGACAAGUUUUUAAAGGAUUCUGGCUCCAACCUGUGUCCCGCGUCCGUGACCCGUCCCCGUGGCGGUGGCAAUGGUGCAGGGGCUCACCCCAGCCCGUGGCACUGCACAAGCCUGGAAAGGUGCUGGGUCCUUGCUACAGGGCUGUUGCUUGUCCCACUGCAUGGUAACAGCGCUGGGAGGCUCGGGAGGGCCAGGGGGACAGCUUUGGUCCUAGGGGUCGCCUCUGCCUUUUCCUACAGUGACAACUCAGGGUCCCAGGGGCGGUCUGUGCCCUGGCCUGAGGUGCUGGGGAC
rnacentral:lncRNA from 14 species